rnacentral:misc_RNA from 1 species
CAGAGGUUAUAUUCUCUUUUCAGUCUAGGCAUAUACAACGAAGCAACGUGCAUAAAACAAUUCUGGGCAGUAGAUAGCUGGAAAAGGCAGUCUAUGCCCAAUUCAAUCCUAAAUUUAUCUCAUUGGCCUCCCUGUUUCUUUCUUGUGAUGAUAAAAUUGGACAAUCACAAGAUCAAAGCGAAGCCAAAAUUAAGUUGCCCUAGACUGAAAAGAGAAUAUAACCUCUGUUCAGAGACAAAACAGUCAUACCAGACCUCCAAAAUCAGCCUCUUGCACACCAUCAGUAGGCCAAUAGCCACUGCUGGAUACGUUGUCUCUUAUGCAGCUCUAGUCCUCAAUCUGACUUAGGCAUAUGAGGAACAUUUCCUCAUGUGCCACAGAUUGUGCAUGGACAACUCAUUCUACAGUAAAUUGAACUGGCCAGAGAACUUGGCCUUGCAGGCUGCACAAGUAAAACCCAAUGAGCUUGCUUGUGCUUCAGAUUCUAGAGCCUCAUAAUGAAACUCAUUUCUGCACCAGACACAGACAUACAAAGUAGG